rnacentral:other from 1 species
CGUUCCCUGCGGUGUUCGAAAGAAGGUGGAAUAACCCUUGGACCUAAUAACCUACUCGGGAAGACAGAUCAUUCGACUGGUGUGCAUGCUCAUUAUUGAGAAGCCUAAUGCCAAUGUCCGACUCCCACUUAAACCUCUCGGUUUAAGGUAGAAACCUGAAGCGGCGCUAGUGGGGARCGU